rnacentral:SRP_RNA from 1 species
UUAUUAGUGCAACAAAUAGAUUGUGAAACUGGUCAGAAUCGGAAGAUAGCAGCCAUAAACAAAAUAUUUGUGUGCACUAUAAUUUU